CUAAGACCCCGAAUCUUGAAUGCUUAAAAGCUGAUGGCUGUGUAAGUUUGGAUCAAAUCCAUUCUUCAAACUGUCCUAGUCAAGCUUACCGAUUUAUGUCUUGAGAUAUGAUGGGCCAGAGCGAAUAAACAUUGGUGGUACUGUUAAAGGGAGAAAGAAGUUGAUCAGGGAGGGAUCAUCUCUGGCGUUUGAUUUGAACGAGUGUCAGAAAGUGGCGUGGUGGUACCAUUAAGAAGAGAAGUGGGUAAUGAUAAUGAGGAGAGGAUGAGAUUGGAAGUUGAAGACGACGAGUUAAUGGCACAAGCGGAGUGUUGUACAGGUAACACUAAUGCUAGUGUAUUAGCACUUGUUCCAUUAUUGGAAACGCAAGAGGUUACAUUAUUCUACAAGUUUCAAUUUUGAAAAGCAAAAAGAUUCAACCUCUCGUAGAUCUAAAACUGCGUUUGGACAUUACAGAGUCCCAUAUGAGUAAUUAUUGUGGUUGCUUCUCUUACUCUGCU